GUAAUACGUAGGGCGCAAGCGUUGUCCGGAAUUAUUGGGCGUAAAGAGCUCGUAGGCGGUUUGUCGCGUCUGCUGUGAAAGCCCGGGGCUCAACCCCGGGUCUGCAGUGGGUACGGGCAGACUAGAGUGCAGUAGGGGAGACUGGAAUUCCUGGUGUAGCGGUGAAAUGCGCAGAUAUCAGGAGGAACACCGAUGGCGAAGGCAGGUCUCUGGGCUGUUACUGACGCUGAGGAGCGAAAGCAUGGGGAGCGAACAGGAUUAGAUACCCUGGUAGUCCAUGCCGUAAACGUUGGGCACUAGGUGUGGGGGACAUUCCACGUUCUCCGCGCCGUAGCUAACGCAUUAAGUGCCCCGCCUGGGGAGUACGGCCGCAAGGCUAAAACUCAAAGGAAUUGACGGGGGCCCGCACAAGCGGCGGAGCAUGCGGAUUAAUUCGAUGCAACGCGAAGAACCUUA
rnacentral:rRNA from 1 species